rnacentral:rRNA from 1 species
GACGGGACCGCACAAGCGGUGGAUGAUGUGGUUUAAUUCGAUGCAACGCGAAAACCUUACCCACCUUUGACAUGGCAGGAAUCCCGAAGAGAUUUGGGAGUGCUCGAAAGAGAACCUGCACACAGGUGCUGCAUGGCUGUCGUCAGCUCGUGUCGUGAGAUGUUGGGUUAAGUCCCGCAACGAGCGCAACCCUUGUCAUUAGUUGCUACAUUUGGUUGGGCACUCUAAUGAGACUGCCGGUGACAAGCCGGAGGAAGGUGGGGAUGACGUCAAGUCCUCAUGGCCCUUAUAGGUGGGGCUACACACGUCAUACAAUGGCUGGUACAAAGGGUUGCCAACCCGCGAGGGGGAGCUAAUCCCACAAAGCCGAUCGUAGUCCGGAUCGCAGUCUGCAACUCGACUGCGUGAAGUCGGAAUCGCUAGUAAUCGUGGAUCAGCAUGUCACGGUGAAUACGUUCCCGGGUCUU